AUGAAUGCUGGCGGCGUGCCUAACACAUGCAAGUCGAGCGGCAGCGAGGGGUGCUUGCACCCUGUCGGCGAGCGGCGAACGGCUGAGUAACGCGUAGGAAUUUGCCCCAAAGUGAGGAAUAACUGCCCGAAAGGGUAGCUAAUGCCGCAUAUGGUCUUCGGAUUAAAGGAUUUAUCCGCUUUGGGAGAAGCCUGCGUUGGAUUAGGUUGUUGGUAGGGUAAUGGCCUACCAAGCCGACGAUCCAUAGCUGGCCUGAGAGGAUGAUCAGCCAGACUGGAACUGAGACACGGUCCAGACUCCUACGGGAGGCAGCAGUGAGGAAUCUUCCACAAUGGGCGAAAGCCUGAUGGAGCAACGCCGCGUGAAGGAUGAAGGCCUUCGGGUUGUAAACUUCUUUUAUGAGUGAGGAAUAUGACGGUAACUCAUGAAUAAGCACCGGCUAACUACGUG
rnacentral:rRNA from 1 species